AAAUGUCCUUAUCUCAAAGCCCUGUGUACGGUGGGAAUAUUAUCCAUUGGCACAAUAUGAUUGGAACUAAUCUACUUUUAAUGGUUAUGAUUGGCGUGCAUGCCUUUGCACAAAAUCCCUGUCCGACUCAAUGGGUUCACCAUGGGACUUCGUGUUAUGCGUUUGUCACCAAUCUCAAAGCAAACUGGAUUGAUGCUGGGGCAUUCUGCCACGAUGCAAAUUCCAAGCUGGCAGAAAUUGAUUCUGCAGAUGAGGAUAAUUUUCUAAGAACGCAUUUAACAGCGAAACAUAUCUCAGGUUGAAAUUUUCUUUGCACAUUUUAUGUA